rnacentral:rRNA from 1 species
UACAGAGGCCUCGAGCGUUAGGCGGAAUCACUGGGCUUAAAGCGUGUGUAGGCGGAUUGGUAAGUACCUUGUGAAAUCCCACAGCUUAACUGUGGAACUGCUCGGUAUACUGCUGGUCUUGAGCCACUCAGGGGCUACCGGAACAAAUGGUGGAGCGGUGAAAUGCGUAGAUAUCAUUUGGAACGCCAAUGGUGAAAACAGGUAGCUGGGGGUGUGCUGACGCUGAGACACGAAAGCCAGGGGAGCAAACGGG